rnacentral:rRNA from 1 species
AAAACGACUCUCGGCAACGGAUAUCUCGGCUCUCGCAUCGAUGAAGAACGCAGCAAAAUGCGAUACUUGGUGUGAAUUGCAGAAUCCCGUGAAUCAUCGAGUUUUUGAACGCAAGUUGCGCCCAAAGCCUUCCGGCCAAGGGCACGUCUGCCUGGGUGUCACGC